rnacentral:rRNA from 1 species
AUGGCGGAUGCCACGAGCGCAGGAGCGACGCCUCUCCUCCCUGGCCUCCUCGACGACAUCGUAAUCUGUGAGAUCCUCGUCCGCCUGCCCCCCAAAGCCCUCCUCCGCUGCCGCGCCGUCAGCCGCGCAUGGCGCCGCACCACCUCCACCCGCGACUUCCUCCUCGCCCACCACGCCCGCCAGCCCGCCCUCCUCAUCACCUCCGGCCACGAUUACGGCGGCCGCCUCCACGACCGUGACCUCAUCACCUACGACCAUCGGGCCCGGGCCGCCGGCGCCCAGCUGCAACACGUCGCCCAGCUUGACGAGAGGGACUGUGGCCUGGUGGCCUGCUGCGACGGCCUCCUCCUCAUUUCACACAACAUAAACAGGAAGGAUGCCUGCUCCUCCAUCUACAACCCGGCCACUCGUCAAUGCGCUCCCAUACCUGCGCUUUGUGACUCCAAGGUCAGUUGCAACCAUAUCUUGGGGAUGUAUCGGCACCACCCUACCGGCGAGUACCGGAUACUAGUGCAUGGUAAAAAUAAGGAAACCGAUUAUCAUGAGGAGGAAAUCUAUUUUUAUGAUGAUGCCUGCUACAUCUUUGCAUUGGGCUCCGUCCAGCCAUUGAGGAACAUCAGGUUCCCGCCGGAGAUUGAGCAACUGCUUUUACACUGUGAGGCCGCCAUGACAGCUGUUAUGUUUGGUGGCAACCUGCAUUGGCACAUAGACCAAAAUGAGACUGAAAGCAACAUGAUAGUGAUAUUCGACACCACAACUGAGUCGUUCCGGCAGAUGCAUGCUCCAGUUGUUCCGGUUUUUAGAAAUGUUCCUGCCUAUGCUGACUUGUUUGACAUGGAUGGCGUGCUUGGCAUGCUAAGUUGUGAUGAGGCCGCAAAUACCAUCGAUAUCUGGGUGUUGCGCGGGACUAUGAAAGCGAGGUCUGGACCUUCAAGUGCAAGAUUGAAGUGCCGGUCAUUGAGAUCAAGGCAUUGUGUGGACAAUAUGACAAUUGUUGGUAUGCCGUAG